AUUUACCAAAUCAUUCAUUUUUCGGAGGAGAGAGAGAGAGAGAGAGAGAGAGAGAGAGAGAGAGAGCCUGAAUGGAUAAAUUUGGUUUCCAAGCUGAAAUUGAAGGAAGAAUUAAAGCCAUUGUAUCUGCCUAAACGAUAUUGAAAACAAGGAUAGAUCAUACGGCAAAUGAACUUUUCUACGAAAUUAUGUGGGCCGUGUCAAUGCAACCUCGGUGCACACCAUUUGAAAAGUUUAGGAUGGCCAAAUAACAAAACCAAAUAACUAAGAAACCAGGCCCUUUUGGAGGAGGGAAGAAACGUGUUUAUGGAGAAACACCAUAUGCAGAGACUUAAGAAGUACAUACUAGACACUGUAUUCCUAAUAGAGAAUGCCCUUCCUCGGGUUUCAUCCACUAGGAUUAGCAGAUCAAGCAGAUCGU